AGAGUUUGAUCAUGGCUCAGAUUGAACGCUGGCGGCAUGCCUUACACAUGCAAGUCGAACGGUAACGCGGGGCAACCUGGCGACGAGUGGCGAACGGGUGAGUAAUACAUCGGAACGUGCCCAGUAGUGGGGGAUAGCCCGGCGAAAGCCGGAUUAAUACCGCAUACGACCUACGGGUGAAAGCAGGGGAUCGCAAGACCUUGCGCUUUUGGAGCGGCCGAUGUCAGAUUAGGUAGUUGGUGGGGUAAAAGCCUACCAAGCCUACGAUCUGUAGCUGGUCUGAGAGGACGACCAGCCACACUGGGACUGAGACACGGCCCAGACUCCUACGGGAGGCAGCAGUGGGGAAUUUUGGACAAUGGGCGCAAGCCUGAUCCAGCCAUGCCGCGUGCGGGAAGAAGGCCUUCGGGUUGUAAACCGCUUUUGUCAGGGAAGAAACGCUCUGGGCUAAUACCCCGGGGUAAUGACGGUACCUGAAGAAUAAGCACCGGCUAACUACGUGCCAGCAGCCGCGGUAAUACGUAGGGUGCAAGCGUUAAUCGGAAUUACUGGGCGUAAAGCGUGCGCAGGCGGUCUUGCAAGACAGAUGUGAAAUCCCCGGGCUCAACCUGGGAACUGCAUUUGUGACUGCAAGGCUGGAGUACGGUAGAGGGGGAUGGAAUUCCGCGUAGCAGUGAAAUGCGUAGAUAUGCGGAGGAACACCGAUGGCGAAGGCAAUCCCCUGGACCUGUACUGACGCUCAUGCACGAAAGCGUGGGGAGCAAACAGGAUUAGAUACCCUAGUAGUCC
rnacentral:rRNA from 1 species